CUCCGCCCUGCGCCCGCCCACCUCCCUGCGAAAGCCCAAUCGGCCUGCGGCGCAGCAGGCCACGCCCCGCCGGCUCCGCCUCCACCGCCUCCGAGAGAGACACACAAACAAGUAGCUUGCUGCAGCCGGGCACAAAGAGCGCGCACUGCGCAGGCGCUGCCAACGGGCUCUUUCGGGAAGAGUCGGUCCCGCGAACAAUGAAGUUCCGUUUCUGCCCGCCUCCCCCACCCCUCGCCUUCCUCGCCCCAGCACCUCGCCCUGAAGGUAGUGGUCAGACUGGUAGAUCUAGGCUGAACUUGGGAGUGGAGGUGGGGUGCGGGAUGGAGAAAGAAUCAGGAAGCAUCAAGGCCACUGAUGCCUCCUCGGCCACUGACCUUGGGGAAGUAUCUGUUUUAUCUCAAGCCCAACAUUAUUAAUCAUUGGGCUUUUUUGAGAUUUCGAAGUACGUUAUAGGGAUUUCACUCCUAGCUGUCUUGAAGAAAAGCAGUCCACGUUUAAAUUAUAUUUGAUGAAGUGUGGCUCACAUUUUUAUCAUGUACUCAGGUCAGCGCUGCUCAUUAGCCGUGGUAAUCAGAGGAAGAAUGGAAUGACUUAUUGAUUGAAAUUGGCCCUUUAAUACACAAAAAGUUCUCCAUAAACCUGUGACUGGGCAUUGGAAGUGCUACAGCUUUCAUACUUGAAGGACUGUGAGACUUUGGGAUCGCAAAACGGUGUCUGAUAACUAAGGAGGAAGCAGAGGAGGAGACUCGAAGGGAGAAAGUGAAACAGCUCUGCAACAUACGGAGUAUUUUGCUAGCUGUGUGUUGAUAGAAAUCUCACUCUUGUCAUCUCCCUACACUGUGCUCACACAUGAAAAGAACUGUGGCUGUUUAUCAAGCACUUACCUGCCAGGAACUGUUCUUUAUAUAAAUUGUCUCAUUUGAACCUCACAACAACCCUAAGGACUAGGUACUGUAUUUUAUCCCCAUUUUAGGGAAAGGAAACAGGCUUAGAGAGUCAAAAAAGUACUUCUUAAACAUCGUACAGUAAGUUAAUAGCAGAAUUUGAACUCUACUCCAGGUCUGGCAAGACCGAAGUUUUACCAUCAUCCAGAAUACUAGCUGCCACACUAAAUGGUCAGCAAAUGAUGCCGAGUUUAAGAUCCGUUGAGGAGAACGGCCUGGCGAGAAUUGCAGAAGAGCAGGCAAAGAUUAUGGAACCUCUGGAAUGAGCUUCUGAAGGCUUGCUGUGAAGUCACAUGCUCAGCUCACUGGUUCCAGUGGUCAGGCAUAAUUUCUCUCUCCAAAGUCCGCUCACCCUGAUUGCUUUGACACAGCUGCAACACCAUCGCCACCAGGAAACGCACGCACGGUGUGCUUACUUUCCCUCCUCCCCUUUCUCGGCUGCCUGUCCGCUCCCUUCUACUGGAGACCAGCACACACUAUCUCGGGGACUCAUAGCUUACCUAAUUUGCCUGCUUCAGGCUGCCAGCUGUUUUAUACUUUACUGAAGAAUUGUGCAAUCGUUUCAACCAAAACACAUCACAACAGAGUGCAGAAGCCGGUAUGAGAAUCCUGCUGCCUUCUACUAAGCCAGACAUAAGAGAUUUGCAAAAAAGUAAAUGCCACUCCUCUCAGUAACUUUUGUUUUGGAAAAUAUAGUUAUGUUUUAAGUAAAAAUGUUAUUUUUGCUAACAUGUAAUAUAUUUUUGUUGUUAAUUUUAAAUAAAUAAAUAUUUGUAAAGUUUUGUUUUCAUUUUAAUAAAACAAACAUUGAUGUAACCCUUGUAGAGAGCUCCUUAGAAUCCUCGACAAAUUUUAAAAGUGGAAAGGGGUUCUGAGAUUUAAAAGUGUGGGAACCGCUGUUCUAGGGCUACUCUUGACCCCUGUUAAUUCUCUGUCCUGCUCUUCUCGAGGGACCUCAGUGCUUCGACUCCCCCCUCCACGCUGGUGACUGCUGUGGGCAGCACGUGAACUUCCGGGCGCUGCUCUGCAAGGACCGGAGAUCAGGGAAAUCAGACUGCCCCCGAGGGGGACUGGAUAAAUCCAUGCACCGCAGGUGUGAGCAGCCACUCCCUCCUUCCACAGUGUUUAUAGGGCGCCUGCCCUGUGCCACGUGCUAUUGUAACACUGGGGUUACAGCUGCAAGCAAAACAGGAAAUCCUCCAGUGCUCUGUUGGGGUUUAUUGGGAGAGUAUAGAAGAAUAUAAUGGAAAAUAAAGCCGUAUGUAGAAGGAAUACUAGAAAUUAUUUGUGAGAGCUUGACUUUAUGAAGUAUUUGGGAUAACCCCAAAUUCAAGGUUCCUUCCCCCACGAGUUUCCCAAAGGUGAUAUUCAGACGACAGACAAUGGUAAAGGAAGCAAAGCAACCUGAUAAAGAUGGUACGUGGGUGUCUGUGUGUUUUCCUCACGAGUUACGUAGCCAUUCUGCUAGUAGGCCUCUGGGCAGAAGGUGUUUACAAAUUUCAUCUGGGUAAGGAGGCAGAUAUGAGGCAAGAAAAGUUCCUGCGGUCACGGUGGGUGGGAGGACAGCCAGGAGAGCAGACUUUUAGGACUGGCAGCUCAAGGGCAAGACCAGACUAGCAUCCUGGCAGCACAGGUUGGCGACGAUCCAGAGGAGAAAAGCAUGGGCUCUGAGCCACUGUGAGGUCACCUAAGCACCACCCUACAGAAACCAUCUUAAGGAGGAGAAGACAAAGGGGGAGAAACAGCUCCAACAGGGAGUUAUGACCUGAAAUGAAAUCAUCUUAAGUCAGAAGAGUGAGAUACUUUAACUGGUGAUUUUCAGUUCCAUUUCCAAUGUUGACUUUGCACAUCUGAGCUAGAGUGAGGUCAAAUUUCAGUCUGGCUGCCGGAACAUUUUGUUGUUCCUGGGUUUGUGUGUGAAAAUCUGAGGCCGGGAACUCUGGCAGGAGUGGCUCAAUUAGACCCUUCCUUCUCCUUAAGGCUAAACCCAAAUGUGACUACCAGUUAGUCACAUGGGAGACAGGAGGUUGAAGAGAAGAGACGCCCAAAGGAAAAGAGAACAGGAUGGACGGGUCUUUUCUCCAGAAGAAAAUGGUUCCUGUUUUCCUUGCCACUUAGGCCACCUGGAAGGAGAAAGCAGAGGAGAGAGAGCUGGCCGCUUACCCCUUAUAGCAUGCAUACAAGAAAGAGAAGAGAGGGCUAGAGAGAACAACAAUGGGGGCUGUCUCCUUCCAUGCUGGGAAAGUUCUGGCCUUUGGGCUGGCCUGGUGGCACAGCAGUUAAGUGCGCACAUUCUGCUUCGGC